AAGCUCGUAGUUGAAUUUCGAGACCGGCUUACUGGUCGUGCUUUUGUACGUACUGGUGUAAUCGGUUUCUCCUUUCUGACGAACUAUAAUGCCAUUAAUUUGGUGUUACAGGGAAUCAGGACUGUUACUUUGAAAAAAUUAGAGUGUUUAAAGCAGGCUCACGCUUGAAUACAUUAGCAUGGAAUAACGGAAUAGGACGUUUGAUUCUAUUUUGUUGGUUUCUAGGAUCGACGUAAUGAUUAAUAGGGAUAGUUGGG
rnacentral:rRNA from 1 species